rnacentral:rRNA from 1 species
UACGGGGGGGGGCAAGCGUUGUUCGGAAUUACUGGGCGUAAAGGGCUCGUAGGCGGCCAACUAAGUCAGACGUGAAAAUCCCUCGGCUUAACCGGGGAACUGCGUCUGAUACUGGAUGGCUCGAGUUUGGGAGAGGGAUGCGGAAUUCCAGGUGUAGCGGUGAAAUGCGUAGAUAUCAGGAGGAACACCGGUGGCGAAGGCGGGUCUCUGGGCCGUAACUGACGCUGAGGAGCGAAAGCGUGGGGAGCAAACAGG